AUAUGUUUUUUUGUUAUUUUCUGUAUGCACCAAAUACCAAGGCAAAUUCCACAUAAGUGUAAUUUACUGUGGCAAUAAACCCUGAUCCUGAUUCUGAUCAAAAAUGGAUGCCACCUCGGAGAGGUCCUCCCAGUAAUUGUGAGAGUGCGGCUGGAUCAGGGUUCAGGAUGGUAACCAUUAACAUUUUGUGGUGGCUGAAGGGUA